rnacentral:rRNA from 1 species
AGAGUUUGAUCCUGGCUCAGGAUGAACGCUAGCGGCAGGCUUAAUACAUGCAAGUCGAACGGGAUUCGGGGUAGCAAUACUUUGAUGAGAGUGGCGCACGGGUGCGUAACGCGUAUGCAACCUACCUUUAACAGGGGAAUAGCCCCGAGAAAUCGGGAUUAAUACUCCGUAACAUUGCGGUGUGGCAUCACACUGCACUUAAAGCUGAGGCGGUUAAAGAUGGGCAUGCGUGACAUUAGCUAGUUGGUGAGGUAACGGCUCACCAAGGCAACGAUGUCUAGGGGUCCUGAGAGGGUUAUCCCCCACACUGGUACUGAGACACGGACCAGACUCCUACGGGAGGCAGCAGUAAGGAAUAUUGGUCAAUGGGCGCAAGCCUGAACCAGCCAUGCCGCGUGCAGGAAGACGGCCCUAUGGGUUGUAAACUGCUUUUGUCAGGGAAUAAACCCCCGCUCGUGAGCGGGGCUGAAGGUACCUGAAGAAUAAGCAUCGGCUAACUCCGUGCCAGCAGCCGCGGUAAUACGGAGGAUGCAAGCGUUAUCCGGAUUCAUUGGGUUUAAAGGGUGCGCAGGCGGAUUGGUAAGUCAGGGGUGAAAUCCCACAGCUCAACUGUGGAACUGCCUUUGAUACUGUCAGUCUAGAGUAUAGUUGAAGUUGGCGGAAUGUGUCAUGUAGCGGUGAAAUGCUUAGAUAUGACACAGAACACCGAUCGCGAAGGCAGCUAGCUAAGCUAUAACUGACGCUCAUGCACGAAAGCGUGGGGAUCAAACAGGAUUAGAUACCCYGGUAGU